GGGGUUGUGGCUCAAGUGGUAGAGCGCUUGUCUUGUAUGCAUGAGGCAUUGGGUUUGAUCCUCAGCACCA
rfam:Ictidomys tridecemlineatus contig117575, whole genome shotgun sequence.